GAAGUAGGCAAGGUGAUCGCUCCUCCGAUUCCGAGGAGGGGAGGAAAGUCCGAACUCCAUAGGGCAAGGUGGUCGUUAACGGCGACUCGGGGUGACCCGAAGGAAAGUGCCACAGAAAGGAAACCGCCACCCAGUACGUUGGGGGGCAAGGGUGAAAAGGUGAGGUAAGAGCUCACCAGUACCCUGGGUGACUGGGGUAGCUCGGUAAACCCCACCUGGAGCAAGACCAAAUAGGGGAGGGUUCAGAUGAGGGAUAGGGAAUUGCGAAGGGGAGUUUUACUCCUUUCCCUUUCGAUUCUCGAUCUCAAAUCUGAAAACGGUGGCCCGCCAGAGCCUCCCGGGUAGGUCGCUCGAGCCAUUCAGCAAUGAAUGGCCAAGAUGAAUGAUCACCGCCUCGUGGGGAGCAAUCUCCGUGGGGAACAGAAUUCGGCUUAUUGCCUACUCCAGCU
rnacentral:RNase_P_RNA from 1 species